rnacentral:lncRNA from 1 species
CAGUUACCAACACAAGAAUCUACAGGUCGAGCAAGUCUCGUAAAUUUCACGAUUGCGAGCCACGCUUCACGCAACCGUGUUUGCGUACUUGUGUUUCGAGUUGCGUGGUCGUGCGGAGUUAUAUUUACCAAAUUUAAAUGUAAUCGUUUCUACUGAUAAUAAUAUACUAUUCUCAAUAUGGCUACUGGGUGUAAAAGAUAAAUCUUAUUCUAUCUGUUCUUCAUGAGUUUUAGAUAAUUUUAGUUGUAUUUCUUUGUAAUUUUGUGUUGUACAAAGAUUAAUUUAACAUUUUCUCUGGAAGUAUUAAUUUAGAAAGAUAAUAUGCUUCAUUGGUGUUGUGUUUUGAAGUGUGAAAUGCAAAGUAAUUGUGAAGUCAAGAUAAAGUUCACUUUUAAACUGAACUAAAUAAGGUAUCUGAGAGACAACAAUGGUUAAAUGCAAUACAAUGUACAGGUUUUACUAGCGAAAUGAAAAUUUUCCUGUCCUGUCUGCUGUAAUCAUUUUAUAUCUGGAAAAUAGGAAAACCAGCCGACUUAAUCGAUAAUAACAAUCUCCAGAUUGGGUUCCUUCAAUAAAUAUGGGCUAUAAACACAAUGAAAUAAGUUCCCCAAAAUCUAAAAUGGAGUGGUAUCAAAGGAGAAUUAAAGGAAAUAAUAUUCAUAUUGAAAUUAUUUAUAAGGCACUGGACUGUCUUAAAUUCUACAAUAAUACUAGAAUCAGCUGAGAGAAGUGGUCUACAAAAAACCAGGAAGGAAACGGAAUAUGUGGCUACGAAAGGCAAAAGAAAGGUUUACAAAGCAAAUGUGACACAUUUUUUUAAAAUAUUUAGGAAUAUCAGUAAAUUGCAUUAAAAAAUGUAUGAAAAGAUUUUGUUCAAUAAAAAUGUUUAUAUUUA